UCCUCGGUAGCUCAGUGGUAGAGCAAACGGCUGUUAACCGUUCGGUCGCUGGUUCGAGUCCGGCCCGGGGAGCCA
rnacentral:tRNA from 47 species